rnacentral:rRNA from 1 species
AUGCCGAUUGUGAAGAAACUUGAAAAGGCCUUCAUGUCUAAGGAGUCAUCACUAGAAGCGGUUGUGAUAAGGUCAAUUGUGUCACAAGAAAGACUAAAUGGAUUGGCAAUAUGUUGUAUUGAGAAGGAUGUGUUGCAAAAUAUUGAUCUUGACACUGUCAUUAGUGAUUUUGCAUUCAUGGAGAAGCUGGUUCUCAUGAUUGUUGGAGGCUUGGAGGUGUAG